GUACCACUGAUGAGUCCCAAACAAGGACGAAACAGCUGUCCAGUAC
rnacentral:hammerhead_ribozyme from 1 species